AUUGAACGCUAGCGGCAUGCUUUACACAUGCAAGUCGAACGAGUGGCGGACGGGUGAGUAAUGUCUCGGAACCUGCCCGAUAGCGGGGGAUAACUACUGGAAAGGGUAGCUAAUACCGCAUACCAUUAGAGCUGCCGAUAUCGGAUUAGCUUGUUGGUGGGGUAACGGCUCACCAAGGCCACGAUCCGUAGCUGGUCUGAGAGGAUGACCAGCCACACUGGGACUGAGACACGGCCCAGACUCCUACGGGAGGCAGCAGUGGGGAAUUUUGGACAAUGGGGGAAACCCUGAUCCAGCCAUCCCGCGUGUAUGAGAAGGCCUUCGGGUUGUAAAGUACUUUUGGCAGAGAAGCGGUAUCUGCAGAAGAAGCACCGGCUAACUACGUGCCAGCAGCCGCGGUAAUAC
rnacentral:rRNA from 1 species